ACGGAAGGCAGCGGUGGGGGAUAUUGCACAAUGGGGGAAACCCUGACGCAGCAACGCCGCGUGAAGGAAGAAGGUCUUCGGAUUGUAAACUUUUGUCUUCAAGGAAGAUAAUGACAGUACUUGGGGAGGAAGCUCCGGCUAACUACGUGCCAGCAGCCGCGGUAAUACGUAGGGAGCAAGCGUUGUCCGGAAUUACUGGGUGUAAAGGGUGCGUAGGCGGGUAUGCAAGUCAUAUGUGAAAUACCGGGGCUUAACUCCGGAGCUGCAUAAGAAACUGUAUAUCUUGAGUGCAGGAGAGGUAAGCGGAAUUCCUAGUGUAGCGGUGAAAUGCGUAGAUAUUAGGAGGAACACCAGUGGCGAAGGCGGCUUACUGGACUGUAACUGACGCUGAGGCACGAAAGCGUGGGGAGCAAACAGGAUUAGCCCUGGUA
rnacentral:rRNA from 1 species